rnacentral:rRNA from 1 species
UGCCAGCAGCCGCGGUUAUACGGAGGGUGCAAGCAUUAAUCGGAUUUAUUGGGUGUAAAGGGCGUGUAGGCGGAAUUGAAAGUCAGAUGUGAAAUCCCGGAGCUCACCUUCGGAACUGCAUUUGAAACUUCAAUCCUUGAGGAUAGGCGGGGGAAACGGAAUUCCACGUGUAGCGGUGAAAUGCGUAGAUAUGUGGAAGAACACCGGUGGCGAAGGCGGUUUUCUAGCUUAUUCCUGACGCUGAGGCGCGAAAGCCAGGGGAGCAAACAGGAUUAGAUA